rnacentral:tRNA from 1 species
AAAAAGAUAAGCUAAACAAAGCUAAUGGGUUCAUACCCCGUCUAUGAAUAUUUUUUUUCUCUUUUUA